rnacentral:rRNA from 1 species
UACGUAGGGCGCAAGCGUUGUCCGGAAUUAUUGGGCGUAAAGAGCUCGUAGGCGGUCUGUCGCGUCCGUUGUGAAAACUCGAGGCUCAACCUCGGGCUUGCAGUGGAUACGGGCAGACUAGAGUGCGGUAGGGGAGACUGGAAUUCCUGGUGUAGCGGUGGAAUGCGCAGAUAUCAGGAGGAACACCGAUGGCGAAGGCAGGUCACUGGGCCGCAACUGACGCUGAGGAGCGAAAGCAUGGGGAGCGAACAGG